CACGCCGUAAACGAUGUCCACUAGCCGUUGGGAGCCUUGAGCUCUUAGUGGCGCAGCUAACGCAUUAAGUUGACCGCCUGGGGAGUACGGCCGCAAGGUUAAAACUCAAAUGAAUUGACGGGGGCCCGCACAAGCGGUGGAGCAUGUGGUUUAAUGCGAAGCAACGCGAAGAACCUUACCAGGCCUUGACAUCCAAUGAACUUUCCAGAGAUGGAUUGGUGCCUUCGGGAACAUUGAGACAGGUGC
rnacentral:rRNA from 1 species